rnacentral:lncRNA from 1 species
ACUUUCAUUUUAUAUUUUUCUCUCCUUCCUGGCCACACCUGAUCUGCAUGCGCCUGAUGAUGUCAUCGUCUUCUUCCUCAAAUCCUGGAGAAAUCCUCCUUACCUUUUCCGUCACCAAUCCGGCAACCAUCAUCUCCUCUUUCCUUUCUCCAUCCCUGGCGAUAUUCUCCUUCCUUCACUGUCUGAAACCGUGUUGGAAUUUCCGACUUAAAGCCAAUUAAUCUGCUCACCUUCUCUUCAAUGAACGAGACAGUAAGAACACCAAGCUCUCUCUCUCUCCUCUGUAAUCUCGGCGACAACGAAGUUCAAGUUCGAAUCGUAGAACUCGUUCUAGGUAAGGAAUCCCUGCGUUCACCCUCUUUAGUAUUCCUCACUCGAACCUGGAAACCAUGAAGGACACCAUGUCUUUUGCUUCGAUUUCCAGAGGCAUACGAAGCUGUCCAAGAUUUUUGUGAACCAGUGGUAAGGGAUUUCUAUGUUCGUCCCUUCCAAACCGUACCAGUAACCAUGCUUGUGAGCCUUUGAAUUAAAUUCUUUGAUUCCCGUUCCUUUACAGAAACCGAGUUUCAAUCGGCGACGUCACUCUCUUCGAUUCUGGAAUUCAAGAGUGACCCAAGCCCUCCAACACAUUCAGAAAGCAUCAAAAUCAGGUCAGGAACCGAUUACGGUGAUUUAAAUUCGCCUUCGGUCGCGUUUAAUCCAUGUAUGGUGUUCACCGGAGAUAAUAGUUGAUUUUGCCAGAAUCUGGGCGAACUUACGCCGGAAUUCUUCCGUCUGGGUCGACGGCGCUGGUCGAACCGAACUGGGGGCUGGAGAUAGUGUUAGUAUAUAGGACUCGGGUUUCUUAAGGGUAGUUUUGUAAUGCUGUAUCUGUUAAUUAACCUUAGUGUCCUCCCUAAUUAACCCUAAUGUCUCUCCCUAAUUAACCCUAGUGUUUCUCCCUUUGUAUAUAUAGCUCUGCU